UUGACCAUUUGUCCUCCCAGGCCUCAGACUGCUUCUGAAGUGGAGAGCAUUGAAUAAACCCAGGAUUCCUUCCUGGGAACUGGGUACUUGUCUUCGAGGAGUAGAGCGUCUUUGCAGAAGCCCGUGGCACUAGAAUUUGAGGCACAGAGUGAAGGUUGACUGCUAGGUGCCAAGCCUGAUGCUGGCAAUGGGGAGCUGAAUGGAUAAACAGGAAACUCUUUCAAUCUGGGCAAAGACAACGGGAAGAUGAGUUUGUGAACCAGAUAACAACCAUCAUCAUAAAUGGGACCACGGAAGACAGAGGCAAAACCAGAAACGUGCCUUCAGUGAGAUGUGGGAGAAGGGGCGGGCGGAAGGUUCUCGUGCCUCUUCCACAAGCUUUCCAUCUAAAACUUCCUUCUCGUGGAAAGAUGAGCUUUAGCUUGUAAAUUCUCCUGGGAAGUUGAUACCCGUCUUUACUCUCACACUAACGAAUCCACAUCAGUAUUUUCCCUUUUGUGAGGCAUGAGGAGAGCCUUGAGUGCCUCAAGAGUAAGUGUCUGCAGAUAUGAGAAAAUGCUGCCAAAAUAGAAAGCUUAGCAUCUUAAAAUCAAAUUUAUUGCACCAAAAAUUUUUUGGAAAUUUGUUAUAGAUUUUAUCUGAGAUGGCUUGAAUCACAACAGCAAUCGGUAGAACUGUCUUUUAUUUUCCUUCUUUUGGAUUUGUAGUUUCUCAAUACCGUAUGGUCUUGACCAUCCACCACCUUCCUUUCGUUGUUUGGUGUCCUUCCUUUGCUCUCAGACUCUUUUGAAAACUAUUUUAAGCUGCCCCAUUUCUGCUCCUGAAUGUCUCCCCCCUUGAUUCCCGCUGGUCGUGUUUAUUUAUUAGCUCACAAUGAUUGCUUCCUUUCUCAGGUCUGGAGGGGCAUGACUGUGCUCAGGUAUGACUCUGCCCCUUAAAAAACAUGAAAACAAGGCGUGAAUAUCAUUGAGUUGAUGACUGUAUCUAUUAAAAAUAUCGUGAAUCAC